CCUGCUCUUUUAUGAAAAGCACUGUGAGAUAACUGUUGUUGUGAUUUGGCGCUAUAUAAAUAAAAUUGAAUUGAAUUGAGGUUAACCCUGUCUGCUAGCACGUCGGCCGUGAGGCCAAUGUGUGCAGCUGUAGGGUUAACCGGUCGACAUGCAUAGAAUCGAUAACUUAAGUUAAGGCACACACUCGUUGGUGGUUGUGGUAAGGAUAAUUGGCUUCGGGGGGCUGUAAAGAGUAACAUGGCUAGCUAGCUAACUAGCUGGCAGUAUCAAAGUAAACAAGGGUCCUGGAAUUGCUGUUCCGGUCCUAGGAUUGCGGUCCUGAAACUGCAGCCUCCGGUACUGCAGUUUAAUUCACUCGCUCUGUGAGCUGAUCUGGCCGGCCAGCUCGUUAGCUUCCCCCCGCGGGCUGGUUCUCUAGCUCCCGUCACAACUCCGAAAAUGAUUGAGACACACUUUCGAUUCGCCAUAUUUUUAGUAAAACUGCCAAUUUUCGACAUCUACACAGUUGAUUUCUCACCUCAAAACUUCUCAGAAGUGGAUUUAGUGAUGAAAUAACGUAUAAAAAUAGUAAAAAACCUUCCGUUGUUGGCCUCUCAGCUUCUUUCGCUUGAAUGCCAAAAUGAAUGCUGGGAAUCUCUGCCGUCAAGUUCACAUAAGUUACCAACCGAUGCAUCCUCCUUAAAAAUGGGUGUGUCAACAACACUUUUUAACCGUUCUUGCCAAAAUGCAAACUUGUGGAUUGGGACAGGCCACAAAAGACGACGUUUCACAAGAACACAAUAACAGACAAGAACAUAGAUUGAUAAAGGCCCUAAAACUCAGACUUAGCGAAAAUGACCCUUCGCAACCUCGCAACUUAAAAAAAAGGCCUGGAGGCAGGGCCUUCUGCUCUUGGCCAAUGCUUGGCUGUCUGCAGAAGUACAGUCCAAUCACAAGUCAUAUUUACUGGAUAGAGGGACUGACAGACUGCUCCGCCAAUGACAGACGCGCACAGGAUACGUGUUCAGGAAGCAUGGCUCCCUGGACGGGCUGGCUGUCUCCAUCCAAGCGGUGCAUGGAUGUGGAGAAGAAAUCUGCAAAAGGUAGAAGCUCAGGGUGGUUUGUUCAUCAGCGCGAUGUCACCCGUGGUGUUGUGUCGGGAGAUGCAGUAACUGAACCAGCGCACUGGAGACAAGGCAGCAUGCUGUGGUCAUCACUCACGGGAGGAUGAAAAGGAGGAGGAGAGCAACAGAAAAAAAUUACUUCAAAACAAUAGAAUAAAUAACUUUUAAUCCAC